AUGAAGGCUCAGUGCCUGUUUGUACCAGCUGCCAUUUUGACAGUUGUUCUUAAAUGGAUCAAGAUGGCUGUGGAGGCACAGACUGACCUAAAGAUAGAAAAACGGGUUUCCUUUAUGUGCCUUGUAAAGGGUGCUUUUUUUUUGAACGUUGCACGUAUGAUUGACUGGCAUCUCGCAGAGCCCCUGAGCGAGCAGGUGAGUCCAGUCCACCCUUCUGGACAGGUUGGGUCCCCCACAGCAGUGCUAAGAUGGUUUGUGAAGCAUCCCGGGCUCUGCUCUCCUCUGACUGCUUAUGGCAUGUGCAGCAUGUUCUACAUCAUUGGGCGCUCAGACCUAGACCAGCUAUGUGAUCUCAGGCAAGGGAUUUAACCUGCUUGGGCCUCAGCUUCCUCCUUUGCAAGCUGGUGGGAAUUGUAUCUACCUCCAUGGGUUUUUGUGAGGAUUAAUUAAAAUAUGGUAGAUGGAGUUCUUGAGUACAAUGUAUGGCUCUUAGAAAAGGGUGCUGGUUCUUCUCCUGGCCUGAUCUUCCUCCCUUUGUGUACAGCCAGAGUGUAAUCUCCCUUGGGGUGGGUCUGGGCCUUGCACACUUGAGGAGCUUCUUGGGUGCUGGAUACCCAAGGAGGCCCUGACAGUCGGCGUGGGCUACACGAGUAACCUAGAAUAACGGAAUUACCGAAGCAGAUUUCUUAAAAUAAUCUGAAAAAGUAGCAGCCUCUUUGAACUUCCCUCUUAAAGAAACAAAUUAAGCAAAACAUGUAAAAAAAAAUGAACACAUUAAAAACCUCUACAAGGUUGAAAUGCACUUUAUUUCAUUAGGAAUUAAUGACUUGGAAGUUUUCCUGUUCUGCUGUCAAUUCUUGCAUCUCACUGGCGGCUCUUCUUUUCUGCCUUCUGUCUAUGGAGUUGUGCUCCUCAAGGCUGAGAGGACGUGGGUAGGUAGGUUUUGCAGUUGGAAAUAGAUGUGAGCUUUUUCCAUCAGGGAAGGGUACUGUGGCCCUAAGAAUGGCAUAUGACCCUCUGGUCCAUGAGGUCCCAAGGUAGCAAAGGCACAGCUUAUUUUGGAAUCUUCUUUGCUGGAGAACAAGAGGCACCUGUGUAUCGCCAAAACACAUUUUCUAACUUCUCUAUUUCAAACACUUGACUGGGGUCUCUGACCACCCCCAACCUCCCAGGACACUCAGCCUGCCAUGCAUUUUUCCUGACCUCACUCCUUUUCUCCGCCUUGCUCUUUAUAGAGUAACAUCCCCUCUCUUUGGUUGUCUGGCUUGGCAGUUCAUCUCUCUGCAUGCUAUUUGCUCAUCUCAGUCCCUUUUAGGAUGGGGUACAGACACCUUAAUCCAUUGAAUUGGGUUCAUUGACCCAAGGAGGCACUGUCUCUCUCUUUCGCUCCUUCUCUCCUUUUUCCUUCUCUUCCCCUUCUCUAGUUUAUUUCAGUACAUGUACCUUGCAGCUACAUUUCUGGCUAGCGUUUCACAUUUUAAGAAAUUCCGUAAACCCUUUUAUUUGGCUGUCCUCUACAAAAAAUGCCAUAUCCUACCUAGCACCCCAAAUUGGCCUGAAAGAUAAAUAGCAGCUACUCUUUCUUUUUCAAAUUAUGAAAGGCUUCCCUCUAGGAACAAUAGCCAGUACACUGACAGUGAAUCCAUUUAUUAAAACCAUUUAUAUUUCACUUUAGUGAAGUAUGUCUAUUGUAUAAUUCGAGGCAAACCUGUGUUUCUUGUAGGGGUUUUUCACCUCCUCCUUUUUAGUCCAGUCCUUCCCUUGUUCUAGCCAUGGCUGUUUUGGUAGAAACUUAGCAGCCAGAGCACUUUAAUAUAUUCAUCUGGUAAGUAAAGUCCAGAUCCCUUUGAUUUGAAUCCGUCCCUUGCUUUGUCAGGGCAAGAUGGGAGUCGGGGAGUGGGGGAGGGCAGGAUGGGUGUGAAGGGAGUAACACCACUUUUUAACCACUUGGAAAACAUACCCUUCCCUUUGGUUUUGCUUCUGUUCAGAGGCUUUCAAGCUUGUUAAGUCACACCUGGCCCCCAAAUAAUUGCAUCCUCCGCAUUAAAGUUUAUUGCCCCCUUCAAUAGGGAUGGAAUGAAAACUGGGGGAAUUUAGAGACAGACCACAGGCUUCACCGAGCAGUGAAAUCCACCCAGUUGUGGCAUGGUGAGGAGGCAAAGCAUCAACAUGGAGGAGAAGACCUGCAUGGGGCUCGGUGGCGCCCUACUUACCCACAGGUGCCGGGGGUUCCGAAAGGAUGAAGGCCUGUCUAUCCUGAGUGGCAGCAAGAGUGACCUGGGCUUGCAAGACUGGUUAAUGAUGCCCCCUGCUUGUUGAGUGAUCUUUGCUUUCUACAUUUUUUAAAUCCUUCCUUUCAAACAGUCUUUAAAAUAAAUGCUUUUUUGCUUUCA
ensembl:lncRNA